rnacentral:rRNA from 1 species
AUUGAACGCUGGCGGCAUGCUUUACACAUGCAAGUCGAACGGCAGCACGAAAGAGCUUGCUCUUUUGGUGGCGAGUGGCGAACGGGUGAGUAAUGCAUCGGAACGUACCGAGUAAUGGGGGAUAACUGUCCGAAAGGAUAGCUAAUACCGCAUACGCUUUGAGAAGGAAAGUGGGGGCUCUUCGGACCUCACGUUAUUCGAGCGGCCGAUGUCUGAUUAGCUAGUUGGUGGGGUAAAGGCCUACCAAGGCGACGAUCAGUAGCGGGUCUGAGAGGAUGAUCCGCCGCACUGGGACUGAGACACGGCCCAGACUCCUACGGGAGGCAGCAGUGGGGAAUUUUGGACAAUGGGCGCAAGCCUGAUCCAGCCAUGCCGCGUGUCUGAAGAGGGCCUUCGGGUUGUAAAGGACUUUUGUUAGGGAAGAAAAGGAUAGUGUUAAUACCAUUAUCUGCUGACGGUACCUAAAGAAUAAGCACCGGCUAACUACGUG